AGCAUGAGAAAACACCCUGAAGAAAAUGUUGGAAACUCUUUCUAGAUUUGGUGAGAGAGGACUGCCCCUUCUAGAUCACGAAGAAGACAUGAAGAUUCAAAGCAGCUCAUCAUGAAAUUGCGAAAUCAACCCUUAUAAAACAUAAGAGUGGAAGCAAGAACUUACCGCAAAGAUAAAGUCAAAACAUUAAGAUCUUCUACUCCUUUAGCUUUCAGGGAUGAUCUUAAAGCAAGAAAGAGACUUAUUCGGAGGCUUGGGCAAACUCAAAUCAAAGUGGGAAAGGCUAUAUACAGUGGUCAAAGUAUUCCCGCAGUAGAGAUCAGAAAAUCAGAACCUGAGAAGACAUUAAAGUCAAUGGUCACCAAUUAAAGAACUUUUAGGAGAAACAGCCUCUGGAUUGAAUAAGAUUUCUUUUUCCUUAUCCAUUUUUAAUUUUUGUUUUUGAUUUUAAUUUUUUUUUGUUCCUUUUGUGGAAUAACUGUCUGCUGGUAGCCCACAUGUCUUUUUCACAUGUUUUUUGUUUUUCUGUUUUCGGUGUUGUGUUAUCUGUUUUUGUUUGACAAAAAUUUGGCAAAAUUUUUUGUUUUCUGUUUCUGUAUUUAGCUUCUGUUUCAGUUGUGAAAAUUUGUAUGUCCGAAAAAGAGUUGUCUUAGUAUUUUGUUUAGUUUUUUUAGUAGUUCUUCUAGGUACUUUUGUUUCACUCUUUGCUUACUUUUUGCGGACUGACAUGAUGAAAGUUGUGGUUCUUUUAGUUUGAGAUUGCUGAGUGUGUCAUUAGAUCUAAAUUUGAGUAGAUGAUUUCUAGCGGUCUUUUUUUGCAUUUUGAUUCAAUUGAGUUAAGUAGUUUUUCCAUGAUAGAGAAGUAGCAUUUCAGUUUUGACAAAUAUGAACCCCUGAGAGACUUUGAGCCUUAAUUCUUCAUUUUUGUGUGAUUGCAUGCAUGGAGGGUUACAUUUCGGAAUUUGCACUGAUUCUUUUUGGUAUGCUUGGCCUUGGAUGCACUCUAGAUAUGAUUUAGGCCCUUUUUGUUCCAGCCACUUAGCCAAAAAUGACUCACCCUGAUAUUUUGCCAUUGCACCUGAUUUUUUGAGCUUGAAUUGACCUUUCCUUCUUUAAUUACCCUGUUACAAGCCAAGAGACCUGAAAAACCAUGAAUUACCUAACUUGUGAGUAUAAGAAGGUCAAGGUGCAUGUGCAGUUGCUGAUUUGAAAAAAAAAUAUCAAAAUUGGUUGAGUGUUAAAACAAUGUCUGAAAUGACUGAAAAAGAAAAAAAAAUGAGGAAAGAAAAAGUGGUCUGAAUCAUACAAAAAGAAAAAAAAUGAGGAAAGAAAAAGAUGUAAAAAAGAAGAGUGGGUCAUAGAAUUACUUGAGCUGAAAAUGCACUUGAAUUUCAUACUACCACCUUGCUUUCUCAUGCUCACAGGUUCAUAGCUUUGAAUUCCUUUUCUGAANCCUACCCCCAACCUGACCACANUACAAGCUGAGAUGAANUCCUAGUGAUUUNGAGUGUGNCUUGGAUUAAGUGAUGCUAGUUAGAAGCUUUUCAAAUUCAUGAACUGUGCUUUGUCAUGUUUUGCUGAGUGAUAUAUACAAGCCAAUACACAUUNAGCGGUUGAGUGCAAACACUUUUCUUGUGAGGUGAAAUCUGAGAUGUUGUUGAUCUUGAUUGUUUCCUACUUGAUUUUGAUUGAAUUAAUAUGUGUUUUUUGACUUGUUGGCUUUCAUGAAACUUGAAUUUGGAGGGUUGAUGGCCAUUUGGCANAUUUAAGCUAGAGUAAUACAGCUGAGUUGUGCAAAUUUGUAAAUAGAAGUGAAUUGUGAUAGUUUGUUUAGAAUUGUGUCAGUUUUGUUUGCCCAGUCCAAGAGGGUAGUGUUCUAAGCGUGGGUCUGUGUUAACCUUGCAUUUUUUAUCCUUUUUCCUUCAUAAAAUUUCCUUCUUAGUGUUAAUUACUUUGUAAAAUUUUAGAAUUAGGUUAGACUUUAGUUUUAAGUGCACAAAUAGAGGUUUGUAGAUAUUAUUUUUAAAAUUGUUUUUAAAUAAAAAUUGUGUCUAGAAUAAAAGGCUGUCAACGGUAAAUAUUCCUUAUUGAAUUAAGGCCAUGAUUUGAUUUUACAAGCUUGCCUGAAAAUUGUAUUCUAUAUGUGAUAUAAUUCAUGAUGAAAUAGUUAACCAAACGCCUUGGUAUUAAUUUGCAGAUAUUCAGCAAUUACAAUUUGAAGCCCAGCAUCCGUGGUUGUGACAUGCAGAAAUUUGUGAAAUUUUUUGUAAUUAUCAGAUGUUUCAAAUCACUUCAGAACCUCACAACAUACCACCAAGUAUGGUUACUGUACCAAUAUAUACUUUUGAUAUAUGGAUUAGAUGAAUUGCCCAGGAAGCAUUCACAAACUGAUUUUCCUUGACAUAUUUGUGCAACUUGGUGUUGAUGAACAUUUUGGCCUGAAUUAAUCAUAUUAUUUAGAUGCUGAACAAUGUGUUUCAAAAUUGAAGUAUUCUCCUUCUUGAGUUAAUUUAACUGAAUUUAAUUAUUUUCCUUCUUGAGUUCAUUUAACUGAAUUUAAUUAUUUUUAAAACUGUAUGAAGUUUUUUAGUUUUGAGGUACUUUAGAAAGGAUGGACAUAAUUGGAGAAAGAAAAAGGGUGGAAAGACUGUGAAAGAAGCUCAUGAAAAGUUGAAGG